rnacentral:rRNA from 1 species
AGAGUUUGAUCCUGGCUCAGGACGAACGCUGGCGGCGUGCUUAACACAUGCAAGUCGAACGAGAUCUAUCCUGUAGCUUGCUAUGGGGUAAAUCAAGUGGCGAACGGGUGAGUAACACGUGGGCAACCUGCCCCGGAGACCGGGAUAACACGGGGAAACCCGUGCUAAUAGCGGAUAUUCUGCCUUUACUCGCAUGGCAUCGGUAGAAAACUGUUGAUUUAUCAUCUGCUCCGGGAUGGGCCCGCGCCCCAUUAGCUAGUCGGUGAGGUAACGGCUCACCGAGGCAACGAUGGGUAGCCGGCCUGAGAGGGUGUUCGGCCACACUGGGACUGAGAUACGGCCCAGACUCCUACGGGAGGCAGCAGUGGGGAAUAUUGCGCAAUGGGCGAAAGCCUGACGCAGCGACGCCGCGUGGGCGAGGAAGGCCUUCGGGUUGUAAAGCCCUGUCAGGGGGGACGAAGGUGCUUGCACUGACGGUACCUCCAGAGGAAGCCCCGGCCAACUACGUGCCAGCAGCCGCGGUAAUACGUAGGGGGCGAGCGUUGUCCGGAAUCAUUGGGCGUAAAGAGCACGUAGGCGGCCUGCCAAGUCGGAUGUGAAAUCCCGUGGCUCAACUGCGGAACUGCAUUCGAAACUGGCAGGCUAGAGUCCAGUAGAGGAAAGUGGAAUUCCCAGUGUAGCGGUGAAAUGCGCAGAUAUUGGGAAGAACACCGGUGGCGAAGGCGGCUUUCUGGGCUGUGACUGACGCUGAGGUGCGAAAGCUAGGGGAGCAAACAGGAUUAGAUACCCUGGUAGUCCUAGCCGUAAACGAUGGGCACUAGGUGUGGGGAGUGUCAACUCUCUCCGUGCCGGAGCUAACGCAUUAAGUGCCCCGCCUGGGGGGUACGGUCGCAAGGCUAAAAACUCAAAGGAAUUGACGGGGGCCCGCACAAGCGGCGGAGCAUGUGGCUCAAUUCGACGCAACGCGAAGAACCUUACCAGGGCUUGACAUGCAUGUGAAAGACGUGGAAACACGUCCCUCCGUAUGGACAGAUGCACAGGUGGUGCAUGGCUGUCGUCAGCUCGUGUCGUGAGAUGUUGGGUUAAGUCCCGCAACGAGCGCAACCCUUGUCCUGUGUUGCCAGCGGUUCGGCCGGGGACUCACAGGAGACUGCCGGUGACAAACCGGAGGAAGGUGGGGACGACGUCAAGUCAUCAUGCCCCUUAUGCUCUGGGCUGCACACGUGCUACAAUGGCCGGUACAAAGGGCUGCGAAGCCGCGAGGUGGAGCUAAUCCCAAAAAGCCGGUCUAAGUUCGGAUUGGAGGCUGAAACUCGCCUCCAUGAAGCCGGAGUCGCUAGUAAUCGCGAAUCGGAACGUCGCGGUGAAUACGUUCCCGGGCCUUGUACACACCGCCCGUCACACCACGAAAGCUGGCAACACCCGAAGCCGGUGGCCUAACCCUUUUUGGGAGGGAGCCGUCGAAGGUGGGGUUAGUGAUUGGGGUGAAGUCGUAACAAGGUA